rnacentral:rRNA from 1 species
AUUGAACGCUGGCGGCAUGCCUUACACAUGCAAGUCGAACGGUAACGGGUCCUUCGGGAUGCCGACGAGUGGCGAACGGGUGAGUAAUAUAUCGGAACGUGCCCAGUAGUGGGGGAUAACUGCUCGAAAGAGCAGCUAAUACCGCAUACGACCUGAGGGUGAAAGGGGGGGAUCGCAAGACCUCUCGCUAUUGGAGCGGCCGAUAUCAGAUUAGCUAGUUGGUGGGGUAAAGGCCUACCAAGGCAACGAUCUGUAGUUGGUCUGAGAGGACGACCAGCCACACUUGGACUGAGACACUGCCCAGACUCCUACGGGAGGCAGCAGUGGGGAAUUUUGGACAAUGGGCGCAAGCCUGAUCCAGCAAUGCCGCGUGCAGGAAGAAGGCCUUCGGGUUGUAAACUGCUUUUGUCAGGGAAGAAAUCUUCUGGGCUAAUACCCCGGGAGGAUGACGGUACCUGAAGAAUAAGCACCGGCUAACUACGUGCCAGCCGCCGCGGUAA